rnacentral:tRNA from 3 species
UGCUGAUAUGGCUCAGUUGGUAGAGCGCACCCUUGGUAAGGGUGAGGUCCCCAGUUCGACUCUGGGUAUCAGCAUC